rnacentral:rRNA from 1 species
UGAGGAAUAUUGGUCAAUGGGCGCAAGCCUGAACCAGCCAUCCCGCGUGCAGGAAGACGGCCCUAUGGGUUGUAAACUGCUUUUCCAGGGAGAGAAACUUGCGUACGCGUUGCGCAAUUGACGGUACCCUGGGAAUAAGCAUCGGCUAACUCCGUGCCAGCAGCCGCGCUAAUACGGAGGAUGCGAGCGUUAUCCGGAUUCAUUGGGUUUAAAGGGUGCGUAGGCGGACUAUUAAGUCAGUGGUGAAAUCCUGCAGCUUAACUGCAGAACUGCCAUGGAUACUGAGAGCCUUGAGUGUGGUUAAGGUAGGCGGAAUGU